AUUAAUUAAUCAUCCAUGAGGUGAUUAUAUUCAGCAAUGGAUACGUGAUCACACGAUUACUUAAAGGGACACAUUUCAAUUGUUUUUUAUUAAUCGAGUGUUAAAGUAUUACUUUAACUUCUUUUAAUGGAAAAAAAAGAAAAAGGAAGCAUUCAGCAAUAACAGGUCUGUGAUGCCCUUAGACAUCUUGGGCUGCACGCGCGCUACAAUGAAGUUACUAGAGAGCAAUUUAUUGAGAUAUCGUAUUGAAUGAGACUCUGUUUCAUUUGAUAUGUAAUAUAGCAAUGUACCGAUAAUUAAAAUUGGAGGAAAACUCAAAAGAACGUACUUGACCGGGAUAAAUGAUUGGAAUUAUUUGUUUUGAACGAGGAAUUCCUUGUAAUAUCGUGUCAUCAACGCGAGAUGAAUACGUCCCUGCCCUUUGUACACACCGCCCGUCGCUCCUACC
rnacentral:rRNA from 1 species